rnacentral:rRNA from 1 species
GAUGAACGCUGGCGGCGUGCCUAAUACAUGCAAGUCGAGCGAAUGGAUUGAGAGCUUGCUCUUAUGAAGUUAGCGGCGGACGGGUGAGUAACACGUGGGUAACCUGCCCAUAAGACUGGGAUAACUCCGGGAAACCGGGGCUAAUACCGGAUAACAUUUUGAACCGCAUGGUUCGAAAUUGAAAGGCGGCUUCGGCUGUUACUUAUGGAUGGACCCGGGUCGCAUUAGCUAGUUGGUGAGGUAACGGCUCACCAAGGCAACGAUGCGUAGCCGACCUGAGAGGGUGAUCGGCCACACUGGGACUGAGACACGGCCCAGACUCCUACGGGAGGCAGCAGUAGGGAAUCUUCCGCAAUGGACGAAAGUCUGACGGAGCAACGCCGCGUGAGUGAUGGAGGCUUUCGGGUCGUAAAACUCUGUUGUUAGGGAAGAACAAGUGCUAGUUGAAUAAGCUGGCACCUUGACGGUACCUAACCAGAAAGCCACGGCUAACUACGUGCCAGCAGCCGCAGUAA